rnacentral:rRNA from 1 species
GAUGAACGCUAGCGGCAGGCUUAACACAUGCAAGUCGAGGGGCAGCAUAAACAUUGCUUGCAAUGUUUGAUGGCGACCGGCGCACGGGUGCGUAACGCGUAUGUAACCUACCUCAAACAGGGGCAUAACACUGAGAAAUUGGUACUAAUUCCCCAUAACACCUUGGGAGGCAUCUCCUUAGGUUGAAAGUUCCGGCGGUUUGAGAUGGACAUGCGUUGUAUUAGCUAGUUGGUGAGGUAGUGGCUCACGAAGGCAACGAUGCGUAGCCGACCUGAGAGGGUGAUCGGCCACACUGGGACUGAGACACGGCCCAG